rnacentral:ncRNA from 20 species
CAUAAUUUGAUGGAAUAAGGUUCGAAUAAACGCGAUUAAAAAGGGAACGGGGUGUGAAUCCCCGACUGUCUCGCAGCUGUAAGUUCCUUUAUGCCUCUCAAGCAAUACGGCCACUGCCGGUAAACGGUGGGAAGGUACUUGGGAGUGGAACGAAGUCAGAAGACCUGCCUUAUGAUUAUAAGCCGCA